rnacentral:lncRNA from 1 species
GGAAUAAUAAAAUCAAGGUGCUCAAAUCUCAUACAUGUACCACCAAACCAUUUGCUCUAUACUAUUCUAACAUAUAUAUUUAUAAACAUAUCAACUAAAUUUAUAAUCGAUCUCACCAACUAUUUCCUUUCCGAUUUGUUACCAUUUUUGCUUGUAGAACUAUAAUAAACUAACUUUGUAAACAUAGAACCAUUUUGCUCACAUAAACUUUACAAUUCAAGUCUACUCACACACGCUGUAGGUCAGGAUUGUUGAUAUAAGUGUUAUCUGAUGCUGCUCUCACAAGUUGUAAAGAAUCUGCAACAUAUGCUGGAUUUCAACCAUUGAUAACUAAGUCCCUGACCAGCACCAAAACUAUAUCAUUUGGGUCUACUUGCAUAAGAUGUAGGUCGGAAUUAUUCAUAUAAGUGUUAUUUGGUACUGCUCACACAAGCUAUAGAGUAUCCACAACAUACAUUGGAUCUCAACCAUCGAUAACUAAGUCCCUGAUCGUAAUGGUUUGUCAUCCCUACCUUAGUCAUUUACUAAAUACGUCAGAGCCUUAUUCUAUACUCGUACCAUUUUACUAUAUGUAACAUCAUCAUAUAUACAAUUUCAUAUCAUUCAAUCAUAUGUAUAUAUUUCACAUUUGUUCGAUAACCCGUACUUAUUAAAAAUUGUCUUAUAUUUCAAACAUUGCAAUUUAGUCUAAGUCAAAAGUAACUAUAAUUAAUUCCAACUCAAUAUACAAACAAUAUUAUAUAUAUUAUGUAAAAAAGGGAAAUCAACAUAAUAAGUUCCAUAUGAACUUACCUGACUAAAAUAACAACGAACGAGAUGUCGAGGACUAAUCGUAAUUUUGUUUUUUCCUCAAAUAUCCUUUGACUAGUUUAAUUUUUGAUCUAUAUAAUCAUUCAUUUUAAUUUAUCAAUGUCAAACAUUUAAAUGAAAAUCCAUGAUAUGCAUGAACCUAUUUAAUUUCAUUUUUACAAAACUCCUAAAAUUUUACACUUUAUUCAAUUUAGUCCCUGAAAUCAAAAUUAUCAUAACUUACACAUUUGAGCUUCAUUUUACAAUUUGAUUUCAAUUACGACCUUAUACUACUCUCCACUCUCUAUUUUUAUCAAAAUCUCAUGGUAGUUUUGUAACUUAUUCAGUUUAGCCUUAUGUUAAAAAAUUAACACUUAAACUUUACAAACUAGUCAUUUUUUUCAUUUCUAAGCUUAAAAACUAAUAUUUUAACACCAAAACUUCAAGAAUUCAUUAAUGGAAACAUUUUGAAACUUUAAAAGUUUUGAAAAAUAAAACAUGGAUUAGCUAAAUUGAGCUAUCACGAUCUCAAAAACACAAAAUUUAUGAAAAAUGACUUCAAACGACUUACCAUGAGAGGAUGAGAAGCUUGGCCGAAUGAUGAAGCUUCCAAAAAUGGUUUAUCGGGUGUGUUUGUUUGAAAUUUCAGUGGAAGUAAAUUAAAGGUGGGUUUGGAUAGGCGGUACGUUUACCUGUGGUUAGUGUAAACAGCGGUGGCAGUGAUAUUAGAUAGUGUAGCGAUGCUGUAGUGUGAGACAAAAAGUAAACUAAACGCACUGAACUACACCUAAUCGCCCAUCCAAACCCAUCCUGAAUGGAUGAUGAUGCAAUUUUUGUUUUUAUUUUUAUUUUUAUUAUUAACAUAUAAUAAUAGUUUAAUUAAUAUUUUAACCCAUAAUUCUCUUAAUAAAAAGCAGUUAACCUUCCACCGCUUUUAAAAAUGCUCUAACUGCCAUUGAAACUUUAGUUUAAUUGCUAAAUAGGUUUUUUAAUAAAUAAAAAUCUAUAACAAUUAACUUUUACCACUUUUACAAUUUAAUUCUUGUAUCUUAAUUAACUAUUCGUUCAAUAAAAUUACUAGACCGAAAUUUAAUAUAGUAUUAUAAUAUACUCACAAAUAUUAAAUAAUAAUAUUUACAAACUCGAUCAUUAAAAAAUAGGAUUCCAAAAUCACCGUUUCUGGUACCACUAAAAAAAUGGGCUAUUACAAUUAAAUUCAAGAUAGGUGGCAGAAUAGAAUUGUGAUGUGGCAUUAAUGAUGACAUAAUUUAAAAAAUAUAUUAAAAAUCUAAAAAAAAUUAAAAACCAUAACUUUUAUCGACACUUGAAUACAUAUAUUGGAUUCCAACUUAAUUAGCAAACAAAGAUAUGUCAAAAUUCACCCUUCCAACUCUUCCAAACAACCACAACUCAAUAAAGUUAAAUUACUACAUAAAGUAACUAGGUGAACUACAACACCAUGAACACCAUAAGCCAAGUUUCCAAGUUCUUAUCAUGACGUAGAUCAUUCAUUUACUAACUUUUAGUACCUAUAUCUCAAAUAUAUACAAAUCUCAUAAAUAAAUAAAAAACUCAUAUAUUAAAAAACAACUAACAAUCUGAAAUGUAAUAAACUUCAUAAUCAAAAUCAUGGAUUUCAGUCAUAGUUAAUCAUAAACACGAAAUUACUGUUUACUCAUAUCAUGAAAAAUCCCCAUUUGAGGAUACAUACAGAUAUUUGGAAAAAAAAAAAAAAAACCUCACCAUUUAGGUGCCUCUCGACUUGAGUCAUAUCUUUAAAAAAUUUAGAUACGAAAAUUUCAUAAAAAAAAAUCUUAAAAUCUAUAGAGGAAGUAACCUUCGACAUUGAGGAGGACUGCAAUUUCGAGAGCUACCGCUACGAGAAAGAGAGGAAGAAGAGAAAGAUCUGGAGCAAGAAUGAGAGCUAGACGAGGAAGCAAAUCUAGAGUAGGACACGGAGUGAGAGCGAGAAUUGGACUUAGAGUUUGAACCGGAAUAAGAGUAGGAACAAGACCUAGACCGUAAACAAGAACAGGAAGAGGAACCGGAGUUGGAGACAAAACGAGAACGACGACCUCUCAGCUAGAUUCAUAUCUUUAAAAAAUUAAGAUAUGAAAAUUUCAUUAAAAAAUCUUAAAAUCUACAGAGGAAGUAACCUUUGAUGUUAAGGAUUACGAUUUCGAGAGUUACCGCUACUAGAAGGAGAGGAAGAGGAGAAAGAUCUGGAGCGAGAACGAGAGCUAGACGGGGAAGUAGAUCUGGAGCGGGACACAAAGCGAGAGCGAGAAUUGGAUUUGGAUUUGGAGUCUGAAUCGAAAUAAGAGCGAGAGCUAGACCUAGACUGUGAACAAGAACAGGAAAAGGAACCAGAGUUGGAGACAAAACGAGAACGACGAUCUCUUGUUGGCUUUACGAUUUGCAGAAUACAAAGAGAGGAAUAGUAGAGAUAAGAAACCAUUUUUUUUUAUAUUUUUAUCUUUUGAAAAUGUUUUUAUUGAUUUUUAAUAUUUUUUAGAUUAUGACAUCAUCGUGAUGUUUGAAGGGCG